GAUGAACGCUGGCGGCGUGCCUAAUACAUGCAAGUCGAGCGAACGGACGAGAAGCUUGCUCCUCUGAUGUUAGCGGCGGACGGGUGAGUAACACGUGGAUAACCUACCUAUAAGACUGGGAUAACUUCGGGAAACCGGAGCUAAUACCGGAUAAUAUUUUGAACCGCAUGGUUCAAAAGUGAAAGACGGUUUUGCUGUCACUUAUAGAUGGAUCCGCGCUGCAUUAGCUAGUUGGUAAGGUAACGGCUUACCAAGGCAACGAUGCAUAGCCGACCUGAGAGGGUGAUCGGCCACACUGGAACUGAGACACGGUCCAGACUCCUACGGGAGGCAGCAGUAGGGAAUCUUCCGCAAUGGGCGAAAGCCUGACGGAGCAACGCCGCGUGAGUGAUGAAGGUCUUCGGAUCGUAAAACUCUGUUAUUAGGGAAGAACAAAUGUGUAAGUAACUAUGCACGUCUUGACGGUACCUAAUCAGAAAGCCACGGCUAACUACGUG
rnacentral:rRNA from 1 species